GUGAUCAGUAUCACGUAUCUUGAUGCCAACUUUAGAUUUGUUUCGCGAUUGUUCUGGCCAUUGAGUGGGGAGUCGACGGCCUCUUUGUUCUUCCCCGCAGGGCCCAAAGCGGAGAUACUCCAUACACGUCGCCUCGCCGUUCGAAGCAACUAGUCGCCGUUGGUCGCUCCCUUGAUGGGAAAAAUUAAGAGCCGGUCUGAUCUGCUGCCAAGAUGCAUGGAUUUGGACACCUGUUAAAACCAGUGUCUCUCUGAAGAUAAUUUUGACUCACUCUUCAGAAAUCUCAUGGAUUUAUCAAACUCGGUAGCCGAGCAUGAGGAAGUGGAAAAAGAGUGGGUGAUAGUUAAAAAACAAAGGAUUGUCAUUUUGAUUCCCCCACCAUCACCUGUAGACCAACCUGAGAGUCCUGAGGCAAAUUCUACCAAGUCAACGAAAAUCAUCAGGAGGAGCUCAGGUAAUCCAAAGAAAAGGGGUCGCAGGCUCUCGAACAGCCGAAGCUAUAAACCUACUGCAACCAUUUCUAAGGGUAAAUCUCAUAUUGAGGUUGAACUUAAACCUUCUGCAAAACCUUCUGAAAAUGGAACUCAAACUGAUGGUGAGCGACUGGGAUAUCAAAGAUCAUUGCAAAACCUUGUUUCUCCAGUUGCAAUCGGUACUACAGAUAAUAUUCAGCAUCAUGCAUCUCGGAUGCCAUUGAUGCAGCAUGCACCACUAACUCAUGAACUCAUAAAUGGAAAUUGUAUGGUUUAUUCCAAAAUGCAAACAUUCAUGUUCUCAAGAAAAACUGGAGGCAUUCCAAGGCUACCAAUUUGUAUGUCAAAGGUUGCAAAUUGGAGAUUGCGCGCAUUAAACCUUGAGAGGAAACUCCAAAUAUUGGGAGGGCUUAGAACCUGGUUGGUCUCAGCGGGGCUCGGUCAAUUCAUUCAUAUUUUUGAGAAGGAAAAAGUGGGAAUUUAUCAGUUAGUCAAUCUUACAAUGAGCAAACUCAAAGAUAUGGGUGCAGAUGCAGUUGGGCCAAGGAGGAAGCUGAUUCAUGCCAUCGAGUGUCUCUGCAAUCCUUACUACACCGAGGAAUGCAGUAAUUAAACUAUUCAAAUGAAUAUCUCCUUCUGUAUCUCCAUCAACUUUCUGUUCCUCUUUGCUGCAUAAAAAUUUUGAUGCUACAUAUACCGACAUAUGCUAUGGAAAAAGGUAUAAGACGUCUGCUCUCACUCGUGGAUACUGGAUACCAACAUUCUCAGUGAUCAGAAAAUUUGUGGCUUAACAAUUUAUCAAGAUUAUAUUGUUCAUGUACAUGUCGAAAUUGUUAUCUCAUACAGUAGACUGAAACUCUGGGCUUGUACUUAAAUAUGCUUCAGGAUGAAGUUAAGAUUUUAGUCAGAAAAGUUGCUGAAAAUGAUGCCAAAGUCAGGUGACAUAAGACAUUUUAGCCAUUAUUCUAUUGGUUGCACCAGUUGCUGAAAAUGAUAACUGGAGUUGAAAUCCAUCGUGUUAGACCUUUCAAGUCAAGCUCUGGAACCCCACUCAAAACUUAUGCUCUUUAUUCCUAGAUUUUUGCGUGUGGUAAUGGCUUAAAUCCUCAUGUAUUAGCAAUUACAAGAACAGGGCUCUAUUCUUUAUUAUAUUGUGGGUUCCCUGCAGAUCAAAUCAUACUACAAGCAUUUGAAUUCUGAAUCCUUCAGUCUUGAAGGAACUCGUCGAUCUUGUGCGGUUGGUUGACCAACUUCUCUUGCUUUCGGUUGAUGCAUGUAGAACUUCUGGUGUAACAACAGCUGCUAAGAUUCAACCCCCCAAGUCAGCAAAUGUCAUCAGACAAGGAGCCUUCAGCUUAAGCGAAUCCACAGACUCAAAUAAGGAUCAGAUUGUCGCCAAUAAUGUCAAAGCACUGCAGAAUUAGCGGACUGGACAGAGUCACAAACAACUACGGUUUGUCUCUGCCCUCAUUUCUCCACUCCUGAAACCAUCCUCGAUUCCUACUCCAAUCACUGUACUUUCUUCCACAAACACCCUGUGUGCAAGAUCCCUCGACCGGGCGGCCAUGGCAGCAACC